GACGAACGCUGGCGGCGUGCUUAACACAUGCAAGUCGAACGGUGAAGGGAUCAGCUUGCUGGUCCUGGAUGAGUGGCGAACGGGUGAGUAACACGUGAGUAACCUGCCCCCUUCUUCUGGAUAACCGCAUGAAAGUGUGGCUAAUACGGGAUAUUCUGUGCCUGCUGCAUGGUGGGUGUGGGAAAGAUUGUGCCCUUUUUGGGUGUUUUUGGUGGGGGAUGGGCUCGCGGCCUAUCAGCUUGUUGGUGGGGUGAUGGCCUACCAAGGCGGUGACGGGUAGCCGGCCUGAGAGGGUGGACGGUCACACUGGGACUGAGACACGGCCCAGACUCCUACGGGAGGCAGCAGUGGGGAAUAUUGCACAAUGGGCGCAAGCCUGAUGCAGCGACGCCGCGUGAGGGAUGGAGGCCUUCGGGUUGUGAACCUCUUUCGCCAGUGAAGCAGGCCUGCCCCUGGUGGGUGGGUUGACGGUAGCUGGAUAAGAAGCGCCGGCUAACUACGUGCCAGCAGCCGCGGUAAUACGUAGGGCGCGAGCGUUGUCCGGAAUUAUUGGGCGUAAAGAGCUCGUAGGCGGCUGGUCGCGUCUGUCGUGAAAUCCUCUGGCUUAACUGGGGGCUUGCGGUGGGUACGGGCCGGCUUGAGUGCGGUAGGGGAGACUGGAACUCCUGGUGUAGCGGUGGAAUGCGCAGAUAUCAGGAAGAACACCGGUGGCGAAGGCGGGUCUCUGGGCCGUUACUGACGCUGAGGAGCGAAAGCGUGGGGAGCGAACAGGGUUAGAUACCCUGGUAGUCCACGCCGUAAACGUUGGGCACUAGGUGUGGGGGGCCUUUUCCGGGUUUUCCGCGCCGUAGCUAACGCAUUAAGUGCCCCGCCUGGGGAGUACGGCCGCAAGGCUAAAACUCAAAGGAAUUGACGGGGGCCCGCACAAGCGGCGGAGCAUGCGGAUUAAUUCGAUGCAACGCGAAGAACCUUACCAAGGCUUGACAUGUGCCGGUCGGCUCCGGAGACGGGGUUUCCUCCUUGUGGGGCCGGUUCACAGGUGGUGCAUGGUUGUCGUCAGCUCGUGUCGUGAGAUGUUGGGUUAAGUCCCGCAACGAGCGCAACCCUUGUCUCGUGUUGCCAGCAUGUUGUGGUGGGGACUCGCGGGAGACUGCCGGGGUCAACUCGGAGGAAGGUGGGGAUGACGUCAAAUCAUCAUGCCCCUUAUGUCUUGGGCUUCACACAUGCUACAACGGCCGGUACAGAGGGCUGCGAUACUGUGAGGUGGAGCGAAUCCCUUAAAGCCGGUCUCAGUUCGGAUCGGUGUCUGCAACUCGACACCGUGAAGUUGGAGUCGCUAGUAAUCGCAGAUCAGCAACGCUGCGGUGAAUACGUUCUCGGGCCUUGUACACACCGCCCGUCACGUCAUGAAAGUCGGCAACACCCGAAGCCCGUGGCCCUAUGGGGAGCGGUCGAAGGUGGGGCUGGUGAUUGGGACG
rnacentral:rRNA from 1 species